UGCUUGAAAGAUCACGGGGAGUUUGAAAUUGAUGAUGGAACAGUUAUUCUCUUAAAGAAGAAUAGCCAGCAUUUUCUGCCCGAUGGAAGUGUGGGCAGCUGAUUCGGCAGGGUGUACUGGAACACGUCAUUUCUUAACAUGACCAUUUUCGCUGGUUUUGCUAGUUAAUAACUAUAAAUUAACAUUUGUGUCUGUCAAUUACAUUAAUUUCAAUAAUUCAAAGAAUUUAUCAAAGCAGUGUCCAGGUGGUUUGCUGCAUGAAAUUUUACUGUCAAACUGUACAGUGAUUUCAUAUGUACAUCAUCUAUAUCACACUGCUGCUAUGGCUUAAGCAGGUCCAUUUUUCUUUUUUGAAUAAAUGCUGUGAAGGUGAUGAUAUAGUUGAGAAUAAUCGAUAAAAUUACAGCUUUUGCAAGACCGUCAACACAAUUUAUGAACAUCACAGUGGAUUGAACAGUAGUGUAGCAUGAUUGUGCAAAUUUAAGGACAGCCUGUGUAUCAAAAAAUGUACAUGUGAAGAAUACUGUGCUUUGAGUUGAUACUUCUCAAUAGUCAAACACCUUUCAAACGUUUUUUUUUGUAUUUAGAAUGAAUAUUUACCAUAUACAGUCCAUAAUGUUUAAAUUACUAAUGAAUAAACCAACUAAAAGGAAUCCCAUUUGCACGAUGCCAUUAUAUUUGGCCUUUUACAUUUCAAACUUCGCCUUAAUAUUUUACUCAGACACAAUUGUCUCAGAAGAGACAUAAAAUUUCUAUGG